rnacentral:misc_RNA from 1 species
GAUUGAAUACCCAGUGAUGCAAACUGAAGUAUGUUGGCCAUUGCCAUUUGUUGGAGAAGAAUCUUCAAAGGACUUCGAGAGCAAAUUUCACCAGCUAGAUAUGUUAAGGGGGCCAUUUGUAACUCCUGCAAGUAGUCCAGAUCAUGAAUCGUCACUGACUGCAACAGAUGUUGGGACAUCAUCAAUAUCAAGCUCAGAUCCAGGGACUUCACCAUUUUUUCUAUCUGGAAUCUAUGGGAGCCAGAAGAAGGAGCAUUUGUUGUUCACUGAAGAAAAUGAAAGUCUUUA